GAAUAGGGAUUAAUGAAUGGGAAGAGUU
rnacentral:piRNA from 1 species